rnacentral:rRNA from 1 species
CAUAGUAGCCUAAAUACCCUAAAGACAUCAGAUCCCGUCUGAUCUUGGAAGCUAAGCAGGGUUAGUUGUGGUUAAUACCUGGCUGGGAAACUGCCAAAGAAGAGUAAGUGCUUCAUGC